AACGAACGCUGGCGGCAGGCUUUACACAUGCAAGUCGAGCGCCCCGCAAGGGGAGCGGCAGACGGGUGAGUAACGCGUGGGAAUCUACCCAUCCCUACGGAAUAGCUCCGGGAAACUGGAAUUAAUACCGUAUACGCCCUACGGGGGAAAGAUUUAUCGGGGAUGGAUGAGCCCGCGUUGGAUCAGCUAGUUGGUGGGGUAAAGGCCUACCAAGGCGACGAUCCAUAGCUGGUCUGAGAGGAUGAUCAGCCACAUUGGGACUGAGACACGGCCCAAACUCCUACGGGAGGCAGCAGUGGGGAAUAUUGGACAAUGGGGGCAACCCUGAUCCAGCCAUGCCGCGUGAGUGAUGAAGGCCUUAGGGUUGUAAAGCUCUUUCACCGGUGAAGAUAAUGACGGUAACCGGAGAAGAAGCCCCGGCUAACUUCGUGCCAGCAGCCGCAGUAACAC
rnacentral:rRNA from 1 species